rnacentral:lncRNA from 1 species
GGUUCAAUCCCUGAUAUAAAAAAAAAAUAGAAAAUAAAAUAGGAAGAAAGCUUUCUGAACAUUGAUAACACUAUUUCCAAAACGGUUAUGUGAAAAAGGGGAUGGUGCAGAGCACAGUCCCGCCUACUGUGUGUGGGUGGACAUUACAUUACCCGAGUGCCUAUAUAAGGGACUUGCAAGGGUAUUUCAAAAUGAUGGGCCUGGUGAGCCUGGGAGGGGCGCUGAGGGCUUGGGGAGCAGAAACUGGGGUGUUUGACUUCGCUGUGGAUCAGGGACUGGGAACCUUUACUGUAAAGGACCAGAGAGUUGGUCUCAUGGCUCCUCAGGCCACCUGACCUCUGUGGAAAUCAGUUACCUCGUUGCUGCAGCACAAAGGAGCCAGGGACCAGUGAGUGGGUGGGCAUGGCCACGUGCCAACUAAACUCUGCAACGGGCGCUGGCAUUUGAAUGUCCUGUCCUGAAAGAUUCUCCUGCCAAUCAUUUAAAAACAAGCGCUUGUGGCCACAGCAAAACCAGUGGGCUGGAUUUGGCCCAUUGUCGCCCGCUGACCCUUGCUGUGGCCUGUUUUGUGUUCACAUUCUUGUGUGGAGGGGGUACUGGGGUCUAACACAGGGGUGCUCUACCACUGAGCUACACCCAUGGCCCUUUAGAUUUUUUUUUUUUAAUUUUGAGACAGGGUUUUGAUUUCUGAAGCUAAAUUGCCAAGGCUGUGAUCCUCCUGCUUCAGCCUCCCGAGUGCCUGGGAUUUUGGGUGUGCACCAUUCUGCUUAGAUGGCUCAUUUUCUUUCAAAUAAUACGUUAUUUUUUAGGACCCAGAGACACCCCACCACUUAUCUACAUCUCCUGCCCUUUUUAACUUGAGGCCGAGUCUUAUUAAGUUGCCCAGGCUCGUUUGGAGCUUGCCGUCCUCCUGCCUCAGCCUCUGGAGUCCCUGGGAUUACAGGUUUACCCAAAGGGGUUGGGGUCAAACGGUGGACAGGAGCCUGCGGUGUGUGCCUAGACCCCUCUGAAGAGAAGCCAGCACAGACCUGGACGCUUGGGAACCAGUGUUUGCCCUGCAUGUCACCUACCCUGCUCCACCACCAGAUGGCAACAUAUGCUCACCUAAAGCUGGCGCCCAGGUUGGGUGGCUGUCCCAGAUAGCCCAUGACACCUAUUUUGCUUGGCCCGCAUUGUUUUUUUUGUUUUAAACUCAGGGGCGCUUAACCACUGAGCCGCAUCCCCAGCGCUCUUUGUUUUGAGACAGGGCCUCACUGAGUUGCUUAGGGCCUUGCUAAGUGGCUGAGGCUGGCUUUGAACUUGCGGUCUUUCUGCCUCAGCCUCCCAACUCCCUGAGAUUACAGGUGAGUGCCAACGCGCCCGGCUGGCAUCAUGUUUUAAACAUGGAGCCAGCAUUUGAAAAGUCUGGACUGGGGGCUGGGUUGUGGCUCAGCGGUAGAGCGCUCGCCUUGCCCGUGCGAGGCCCUGGGUUCGAUCCUCAGCACGUAAAAAUAAAUAAAUAAAAUAAAGGUGUUGUGUCC